rnacentral:tRNA from 1 species
UGGAUCCUAAGAAAUUCUCUAAA